GAUGAAGAACGUAGCAAAAUGCGAUAAGUAAUGUGAAUUGCAGAAUUCAGUGAAUCAUCGAAUCUUUGAACGCACAUUGCGCCCGCUGGUAUUCCGGCGGGCAUGCCUGUUCGAGCGUCAUUUCAACCCUCAAGCCCCCGGGUUUGGUGUUGGGGAUCGGCUCUGCCCCUCUGGGCGGUGCCGCCCCCGAAAUACAUUGGCGGUCUCGCUGCAGCCUCCAUUGCGUAGUAGCUAACACCUCGCAACUGGAACGCGGCGCGGCCAUGCCGUAAAACCCCAACUUCUGAAUGUUGACCUCGGAUCAGGUAGGAAUACCCGCUGAACUUAAGCAUAUCAAUAAGCGGAGGA
rnacentral:misc_RNA from 1 species